CUACGGGAGGCACCAGUGAGGAAUAUUGCACAAUGGGGGAAACCCUGAUGCAGCAACGCCGCGUGGAGGAUGACGCAUUUCGGUGUGUAAACUCCUUUUAUAUGUCAAGAAAAUGACGGUAGCAUAUGAAUAAGCACCGGCUAACUCCGUGCCAGCAGCCGCGGUAAUACGGAGGGUGCAAGCGUUAUUCGGAAUCACUGGGCGUAAAGGACGCGUAGGCGGAUUAGAAAGUCAGGUGUGAAAGCCUACAGCUUAACUGUAGAACUGCACUUGAAACUCCUAGUCUAGAGUAUGGGAGGGGGAGAUGGAAUUAGUGGUGUAGGGGUAAAAUCCGUAGAUAUCACUAGGAAUACCGAAAGCGAAGGCGAUCUCCUGGAACAUUACUGACGCUAAGGCGUGAAAGCGUGGGGAGCAAACAGGAUUAGAUACCCUCGUAGUC
rnacentral:rRNA from 1 species